rnacentral:rRNA from 1 species
UACGGAGGGUGCGAGCGUUGUCCGGAAUCACUGGGCGUAAAGGGCGCGUAGGUGGCCUGUGGAAGUCUGCGGUGAAAGCCCGGCGCUCAACGCCGGGUCGGCCGUGGAUACUCUCGGGCUCGAGCUUACUAGAGGCAGAUGGAAUUCCGGGUGUAGCGGUGGAAUGCGUAGAGAUCCGGAAGAACACCGGUGGCGAAGGCGGUCUGCUGGGCAGAAGCUGACACUGAGGCGCGACAGCGUGGGGAGCAAACAGG